rnacentral:rRNA from 1 species
AUACGUAGGGAGCGAGCGUUGUCCGGAAUUACUGGGUGUAAAGGGUGCGUAGGCGGGACUGCAAGUCAGAUGUGAGAUGCCGGGGCUCAACCCCGGAGCUGCAUUUGAAACUGUGGUUCUUGAGUGAGGUAGAGGUAAGCGGAAUUCCUAGUGUAGCGGUGAAAUGCGUAGAUAUUAGGAGGAACAUCGGUGGCGAAGGCGGCUUACUGGGCCUUUACUGACGCUGAGGCACGAAAGCGUGGGGAGCAAACAGGAUUAGAUACCCUGGUAGUCCACGCUGUAAACGAUGAUGACUAGGUGUGGGGGGACUGAACCCUUCCGUGCCGCAGUUAACACAAUAAGUCAUCCACCUGGGGAGUACGGCCGCAAGGUUGAAACUCAAAUGAAUUGACGGGG